CGCCCUGUUAACAAAAACAUGUCCUUUUGAAUAUAUUUAAGGUCUAACCUGCCCAAUGAGGAUUUAAAUGGCCGCAGUAUUUUGACUGUGCAAAGGUAGCAUAAUUAUUAGUUUUUUAAUUGAAAGCUUGUAUGAAGGGUUGGACGAGAUAAAAUCUGUCUUUAUUUAAAUUAAAAUAGAAUUUAACUUUUAAGUCAAAAGGCUUAAAUUUUUAUAAAAGACGAGAAGACCCUAUAGAUCUUUAUUUAAUUAAUAUUUUGAUAAUUUAAGAUUAUUUUAAUUUAAAAUUUUAAUUGAAUUUUAUUGGGGUAAUAUAAAGAUUAAAAAAAUUCUUUUUAUUUAUAACAUUAAUUUAUGAAUAUAUGAUCCAAUAUUAUUGAUUAUAAGAUUAAGUUACCUUAGGGAUAACAGCGUAAUUUUUUUGGAGAGCUCAUAUCGAUAAAAAAGUUUGCGA
rnacentral:rRNA from 1 species